GGCGUAUGAACGUAGAAAUUUCCGUUGUAAUUUCCAUCGUGGAAUAAAGCAAGUUUUUGUGAAGAAAGCAAAGUACAAGAAAUGUUCAAGAAUAAAAAGUAGGGAGUUAUGUUUAUUAAAAGAGCAAGUGGAAAUACAAUUUAUUGGAUUAUAGAAAUGCUAAUAGUACAUGCCAUGAAAGGGACAAUACACUCUUGGUUUUUUCUAAAUAAAUAUAGGAAACAAAAGCUUCAAGAGGAGUCUUCUUUCUCUCUUUCCCUCUCGAUUCUUGCUCCACAAAACACCAAGAAAAGACAACUUGCACCUACAAGUGAAACAUCAAAAUAGGUAUGAGAAUUUUGGAUUCACAAGACUCAAAAGUGGAGGACUUAUUCAAUAUAGCAAGCAUGAAAUCCUUGUGACACAUCACCAAGCUUGCAAAAAGAAUGAGAACAAGUUGAGCAAAGGAUAAGCUCAUCACCAAGGACCUUUUAAAGGCAACCAUAGAUUUCCACACCCUCCAAACCGAGACUAGGAGGCAGCCAAGAGGGGGGCAGCCCCAAGGCUUGCAUCAAAUAGGAAAGAUUCCCAUAAUCAAUAAGUUCAAAAGGGAGCAAGCUGGCAGCCAAAAAUAGGAGCCUUUGUCCCCAAGUUUCAGGCACAAAAUGCCAAUUCCUUGAGCUAUAUAAGAGGCCACAGCCUUCGCCCCUCCCCACUCUUCGAACACCAAGAUUCACAACAUCAUAAGGAGAAAGCAGCAAGGAGUGAGGAAUGAGGCGAGGCGCCGGCAGCAAGAGAGACCGCAAGGAUUUUCAGCCGAGAGGUUGAACGUCAAGUUGAAGGAGGAAUUGAUCGGAGUCGAUGCUAUUAAAUAAGCUUGUGGAUUUCUCGGCGAUUCGUGUCUUCAUACACGAAGUCGUUUAGUAGGGACCUCUUUCCGCUGCUUUUAUUUCGUUAAGUGAGAAGCUUAUUGUCUCACCUUCGAACUCUGAUUUGGUUGUUGUGGUGAAUGAUUCUAUUUGAGAACAUGUAACCAAAUAUUCGGUUCCUUGUUUGCAGUGUUUAUUUGACUA